rnacentral:rRNA from 1 species
UCUGGUUGAUCCUGCCAGUAGUCAUAUGCUUGUCUCAAAGAUUAAGCCAUGCAUGUCUCAGUACAAGCCAUAUUAAGGUGAAACCGCGAAAGGCUCAUUAUAUCAGUUAUGGUUCCUUAGAUCGUACAUAUAUUUACUUGGAUAACUGUGGUAAUUCUAGAGCUAAUACAUGCAAACAGAGUUCCGACCAGAGAUGGAAGGAAUGCUUUUAUUAGAUCAAAACCAAUCGAUGUUUAUAUAAUUAUUAUAAUAUUUUAUAUUUUAUGUUUUUUUAUAAUUUCAUAUUAAUAAAUUUAUUUAUAUUUAUGUGCAUCGUAAUAAUUUGGUGACUCCUGAAUAACUUUUAGCUGAUCGCACGGUCUUAAUAGUACCGGCGACGCAUCUUUCAAAUGUCUGCCUUAUCAACUGUCGAUGGUAGGUUCUGCGCCUACCAUGGUUGUAACGGGUAACGGGGAAUCAGGGUUCGAUUCCGGAGAGGGAGCCUGAGAAACGGCUACCACAUCCAAGGAAGGCAGCAGGCGCGCAAAUUACCCACUCCCGGCACGGGGAGGUAGUGACGAAAAAUAACGAUACGGGACUCAUCCGAGGCCCCGUAAUCGGAAUGAGUACACUUUAAAUCCUUUAACGAGGAUCCAUUGGAGGGCAAGUCUGGUGCCAGCCGCCGCGGUAAUUCCAACUCCAAUAGCGUAUAUUAAAGUUGUUGCGGUUAAAAAGCUCGUAGUCGAAUUUGUGUCCUACACUGUCGGUUCACCGCUCGCGGUGUUUAACUGGCAUGUUUUGUGGGACGUCCUACCGGUGGUGAGGUAUGAAUUAUAUUAUGUAUAAUAUGGUUAUAAAAACUUGUAUUUUUAUUUAAAUUUUUAUUUAUGAUAAGUUAUUAUUUUGAUUUUUAUUUAAUAUUAAUAAAUUUUUUUUUUAUUAAAAAUUUAAUAUGCAAGAAAUUUUUUUGAUUUUAUUUUUGUGAUAUUUUUUGUUUUAUUUGUUUUUUUAUUUUAUAAUUUAAUUAUUUAAAUAUGAUAUAUUUUACUUAUUUAAAAUUUAAAGUAUACUAGUUAAAUUUUAUAUACUUAUAUGUACAUUAAAGUAUAAUUUAUCGUAAGUGUUGAAAUUAUUUUAUUAUUGAAUUUUUUUCUUUAAUUAUUUUAUAUAAAAUAAAUGGAUUUUUUUUUUUAUUUUUUUAAAAUAUAAUUUUGGGUUUGUUUAUUUUGAAAUAUUUUUGAUUAUUUUGGAAAUAAUGUAAAUAGUAGAGACAGCCUCCCAAUUAUAAUCCUAUCGCGGUGCUCUUAAUUGAGUGUCGAGAUGGGCCGGUACGUUUACUUUGAACAAAUUAGAGUGCUUAAAGCAGGCUUUAAAAUUUAAAUAGUGCCUGAAUAUUGUGUGCAUGGAAUAAUGGAAUAGGACCUCGGUUCUAUUUUGUUGGUUUUCGGAAGUUUUUCCGAGGUAAUGAUUAAUACGGACAGAUGGGGGCAUUCGUAUUGCGACGUUAGAGGUGAAAUUCUUGGAUCGUCGCAAGACGGACAGAAGCGAAAGCAUUUGCCAAAAAUGUUUUGAUUGAUCAAGAACGAAAGUUAGAGGUUCGAAGGCGAUCAGAUACCGCCCUAGUUCUAACCAUAAACGAUGCCAGCUAGCGAUCCGCCAAAGUUCCUCCGAUGACUUGGCGGGCAGCUUCCGGGAAACCAAAGCUUUUGGGUUCCGGGGGAAGUAUGGUUGCAAAGCUGAAACUUAAAGGAAUUGACGGAAGGGCACCACCAGGAGUGGAGCCUGCGGCUUAAUUUGACUCAACACGGGAAACCUCACCAGGCCCGGACACCGGAAGGAUUGACAGAUUGAGAGCUCUUUCUUGAUUCGGUGGGUGGUGGUGCAUGGCCGUUCUUAGUUGGUGGAGCGAUUUGUCUGGUUAAUUCCGAUAACGAACGAGACUCUAGCCUACUAAAUAGACGUACUUUAUUACCAGCAUCUCAAGGCCCAUCGGCUGUAUUAUUACUGAAUGUUUUUUGUAUAUUUUGUUUUUAUUAUAUUUAUAAUAUGUAUGAUUUAUGAAAUUAUUUUUAAUAUUGAUAUUAUUUUUCAAAAUUAUUUUUUAUUAUUAUUUUGUUUUAUUUAAUCUGCAUUAAUGAUAUUAUAUAACAUGAUACAUUAACUGAAGUGAUAUCAGUUUUUUGAUGUGGUUUUUACUGCUGGCGUACAAAUAAUUCUUCUUAGAGGGACAGGCGGCUUCUAGCCGCACGAGAUUGAGCAAUAACAGGUCUGUGAUGCCCUUAGAUGUUCUGGGCCGCACGCGCGCUACACUGAAGGAAUCAGCGUGUUUUCCUCUGGCCGAAAGGUCCGGGUAACCCGCUGAACCUCCUUCGUGCUAGGGAUUGGGGCUUGCAAUUAUUCCCCAUGAACGAGGAAUUCCCAGUAAGCGCGAGUCAUAAGCUCGCGUUGAUUACGUCCCUGCCCUUUGUACACACCGCCCGUCGCUACUACCGAUUGAAUGAUUUAGUGAGGUCUUCAGACUGGUGCGCGGCAAUAUUUUUUAAAGAUAUUGCCGAUGAUGCUGGAAAGAUGACCAAACUUGAUCAUUUAGAGGAAGUAAAAGUCGUAACAAGGUUUCCGUAGGUGA